rnacentral:rRNA from 1 species
CCUACGGGUGGCAGCAGUGGGGGAUAUUGCACAAUGGGGGAAACCCUGAUGCAGCGACGCCGCGUGGGUGAAGAAGGGCCUAGGCGCGGAAAGCCCUGUCAGCAGGGAAGAAAAUGACGGUACCUGAAGAAGAAGCCCCGGCUAACGACGGGCAAGCAGCCGCGGGAAUACGUAGGGGGCAAGCGUUAUCCGGAUUUACUGGGUGUAAAGGGGGCGCAGUCGGGGAUGCAAGCCAGGCGUGAAAGCCCGGGGGCCAACCCCGGGACUGCCCUUGGAACUGCGUGGCUAGAGUGCAGGAGGGGCAGGCGGAAUGCCUGGUGUAGCGGUGAAAUGCGUAGAUAUCAGGAGGAACACCGGUGGCGAAGGCGGCCUGCUGGACUGCAACUGACGUUGAGGCCCGAAAGCGUGGGGAGCAAACAGGAUUAGAUACCCGAGUAGUC